rnacentral:rRNA from 1 species
CAGAGGGUGCAAGCGUUAAUCGGAAUUACUGGGCGUAAAGCGCAUGUAGGUGGUUUGGCAAGUUGGAUGUGAAAGCCCUGGGCUUAACCUGGGAACUGCAUUCAAUACUACCAAGCUAGAGUAGAGUAGAGGGAAGUGGAAUUUCCGGUGUAGCGGUGAAAUGCGUAGAUAUCGGAAGGAACACCAGUGGCGAAGGCGGCUUCCUGGACUCAUACUGACACUGAGGUGCGAAAGCGUGGGGAGCAAACAGGAUCAGAUACCCUGGUAGUCCACGCUGUAAACGAUGAGAACUAGAUGUUGGAAGGGUCAACCUUUUAGUAUCGAAGCUAACGCGUUAAGUUCUCCGCCUGGGGAGUACCGGCCGCAAGGUUA